rnacentral:rRNA from 1 species
AUUGAACGCUGGCGGCAGGCCUAACACAUGCAAGUCGAGCGGGGUUUUCGGACCUAGCGGCGGACGGGUGAGUAAUGCGUAGGAAGCUACCCGAUAGAGGGGGAUACCAGUUGGAAACGACUGUUAAUACCGCAUAAUGUCUACGGACCAAAGUGUGGGACCUUCGGGCCACAUGCUAUCGGAUGCGCCUACGUGGGAUUAGCUAGUUGGUGAGGUAAUGGCUCACCAAGGCGACGAUCCCUAGCUGGUUUGAGAGGAUGAUCAGCCACACUGGAACUGCGACACGGUCCAGACUCCUACGGGAGGAAGCAGUGGGGAAUAUUGGACAAUGGGCGCAAGCCUGAUCCAGCCAUGCCGCGUGUGUGAAGAAGGCCUUCGGGUUGUAAAGCACUUUCAGCGAGGAGGAAGGGGUGAGUGUUAAUAGUACUCAUCUUUGACGUUACUCGCAGAAGAAGCACCGGCUAACUCUGUGCCAGCCGCCGCGGUAACAC